UUAUUGUGCCACCCAGGAGCUUCCUCCAUAUAUGAUUUGCAGGGUGGGUUAAAUGACUUAGCAGUUAGAAUAUACCAGCUGUCUUUCAUACAUUAUACAAGGUGGAUUGCUGAUUGACGAAGCCCAGCAGCCAAUCACCACAACAUUCUUUCUAAUUGCUACAGAAAAAAAAACUUUCCCGAUUUUAUUCUUAAUGCAGAAAAAAAUGGCUCCUUCUUGCACCUUGGCUGGGUUAAUCAUGUUCAUCUUCUCAAAAGGGACGCUUGGACAAUCCGUAGAUCAAACGGAAGGCACGGUGAUCGUCAGCCAAGGGAGUUCUGUCUCGAUCCGGUGUUCUUACGACUUAUCUGGUCAAGUGGAUCCCUUCUGGUAUAUUCAGCUUCCUGGUCAACCGCCCAAGCUUUUUCUGAGGGACUUGGGGAAAACCGACUCCGAUGAAGGUCAUCUCCGUGGCUUCAUGGCUAACCAUGACAAAAGUAGCAAUAAAAAACAGAAGACUUUCCACAUGGAGAAAUCUUCCGUUCAGUUGAACGACGCUGCUCUCUAUUUCUGCGCUGUGAGAGACACAGUGAGGCUAGCCAAUAAGGAAGACCGUCAGAAACACAACAGCCAGGAACAACGCAGAAUAAAAGCUCAAACAAGGGACUUUAAAGAGGCGUAACUGCCCGAACCUUCAUCCAACAUAGCCAUGGGGAAAGGGCAGGGGAUGAUGGAAUUUGGAGUACAAGCCAACACGGUUCCAAAGGUCCCAGUGGAAAGAAUAAGAGGGUUCAUAUGGCACAGAGAGGCUAGUGAGAUAUAAUGGAAUCUCAUACAAAUGUUCAAAUGUUUUCAAAAAUGUUUUUAAUCAUGGUUUUAAUAUUGACAAACAUUUAAUUGGUGGUUUUUUUUUUAAGAAAUAGUUUCCUGUGGCAUUUUUAACUGUGAUUAUUGUAUAGUUUUUAUUGUUUGUGAGCCCACCUUGGGUCUCCUGUGGUUAGAAAG